UACGAAGGGUGCAAGCGUUACUCGGAAUUACUGGGCGUAAAGCGUGCGUAGGUGGUUCGUUAAGUCUGAUGUGAAAGCCCUGGGCUCAACCUGGGAAUGGCAUUGGAUACUGGCGACCUAGAGUGCGGUAGAGGAGUGUGGAAUUCCUGGUGUAGCGGUGAAAUGCGCAGAUAUCAGGAAGAACACCCGUGGCGAAGGCGGCUCUCUGGGACGGCACUGACGCUGAGACGCGAAAGCGUGGGGAGCGAACAGG
rnacentral:rRNA from 1 species